AGAGUUUGAUCAUGGCUCAGAACGAACGUUGGCGGCGCGCCUAACACAUGCAAGUCGCACGAGAAAGGGAGCAAUCCCCGGUACAGUGGCGCACGGGUGAGUAACACGUGGAUAACGUUCCCUCGAGCGGGGGAUAACCUUCCGAAAGGAGGGCUAAUACCGCGUAAGACCACGGCUUGUUCGCAAGCUGAGGUUAAAGCAGGCCUCUACAUGUAAGCUUGCACUCGAGGAUCGGUCCGCGGCCCAUCAGCUAGUUGGUGGUGUAAAAGACUACCAAGGCUAAGACGGGUAGCUGGUCUGAGAGGAUGAUCAGCCACACUGGAACUGAGACACGGUCCAGACUCCUACGGGAGGCAGCAGUGGGGAAUCUUGCGCAAUGGGCGAAAGCCUGACGCAGCGACGCCGCGUGGGUGAUGAAGGCCUUCGGGUUGUAAAGCCCUGUGGGGAGGGACGAAUAAGUUCGACCUAAUACGUCGAGCGAUGACGGUACCUCUUUAGCAAGCACCGGCUAACUCUGUGCCAGCAGCCGCGGUAAGACAGAGGGUGCAAACGUUGUUCGGAAUUACUGGGCGUAAAGCGCGUGUAGGCGGUCGGGCAAGUCGGAUGUGAAAGCCCAGGGCUCAACCCUGGAAGUGCACUCGAUACUGCUCGGCUAGAGCCCCGGAGAGGAUGGUGGAACUCUCGGUGUAGAGGUGAAAUUCGUAGAUAUCGAGAAGAACACCGGUGGCGAAGGCGGCCAUCUGGACGGUGACUGACGCUGAGACGCGAAAGCGUGGGGAGCAAACAGGAUUAGAUACCCUAGUAGUCC
rnacentral:rRNA from 1 species